rnacentral:rRNA from 1 species
UACAGAGGUCUCAAGCGUUGUUCGGAUUCAUUGGGCGUAAAGGGCGCGUAGGUGGCCAACUAAGUCGGACGUGAAAUCCCUCGGCUUAACCGGGGAACUGCAUCCGAUACUGGAUGGCUUGAGUUCGGGAGAGGGAUGCGGAAUUCCAGGUGUAGCGGUGAAAUGCGUAGAUAUCUGGAGGAACACCGGGUGGCGAAGGCGGCAUCCUGGACCGACACUGACGCUGAGGAGCGAAAGCCAGGGGAGCCAAAGCGGG